UUUUCUAUUUUCUGUGUACACCUGUAACCUGUUGUUCUUUUAUCUCCUUAUAAACCCACCGCUCCCUGACUCGGUAAGCCAAUAACAUUACGAUUGGUGUCAUCCCUUCUUCCAAGAAUCACUACUGACAUCCUCGCUUUAGACUUCACUGCCUAAAGACCUCAGUAGUUUCUAGGGCUUUUGUUCCUUUUAUGCCUUCGGUUGUGUUUUGGGGAUAUUGCCUCUUCCUUUCUGAUUAUUCUCAUAAAUAGAAGGAGGUCACAGAAGCAGUUCACUCCAACAUUCCGAUGACGGAUAGAGUUGCCACAGGUGAAGAAGCAGCCCGAGAAAACGUUGACAGAGGCCAACGCCACCGCCAUCGUAUUUUUUUAACCUCGAUCACCACCACCAUUAGCCGCCUCAUCUGGACCUGCAAUUUGGGCUUGAUGAAGACCAUCGCUACCGCCGGACUCACUACAAGAGAAUACUUCAUUCGGCAUUGCAUAAUAAAUAUUGGACAUUAAUAGAUCCUGCUGGAAAGCCACCAUGAGUCAUGGGGUGGUGGUCCUCACGUGCUGUUGCUUUACCGACUAAACACAGGGACAUUGGCCAUUUCCAUGAGAUAAACUUAUGCAACGAUAUGCUUACAUCUUAACCCAUCCAAGGACCAUAAGUUCCAUCUGAAUAUUAUUUAUUAUUUUGUGACAAAAAAAUCUUUUCUGUUACAUUUAAUCAAUUUAUAUUUAUAUUGCAGCCUGUGGUUUUUUAUGACCAAUUUUAUGAUUUUCGGAUCCAUGAUGUGAUAAUGGAGCUAAUUCAGGCUAGGGAACGACUAACGUGUAAAGGAUCAACGACUUUAUUGCUUUUGGAUGCGAUUGCUUAUAAGGCGUUCGGUGAAAUGCCCGAACCAACUAAGUUAUUAACAAAUGAAGGACAUAUUCAUUGUGGGCAUUAAAACUCCCAGCUAAUUUUACUUUCUGCCCCUCUCUUUCUAGAAAUUGGAGAAUCUUGCUGAGUUUACCUUAGAAGGAUUGGAUAUGUUCUAUGAAGAAAUCAUACGUGGAGUUUAUGUCGAUGGCCACUUUCAUUACUCCUCUUAGCCACAGAAGUUGUAUUUCAUUUAAGCACCAAAUGGCAAAACAAAGCCUUAAGGUGGUGAUGUUGUUGCAGUUGAAGAAGACAUGACAAUUAGGUAAAACAAGGUGUAAAUUGGUGUCAACGUAAUAAAGUAUUUUGUUAAUGUUAAAGGAGCUCGAGAUUUAAAUGUAUGUGAUGGAUUCUUUCAGUGUGAUAGUUUUAAAUGACUUUGUAUAAUUAUUUUGAAGACUGGUACCCAGUUGUAUACUCCAAGUAUGCAGGGACUGAAGUUGAGUUUAAUGGGUCAAACCAUCUCAUACCGAAAGAAGAUGACAUCAUUGGUAUUGUUGAAAUAGAAGAUGUUACGGAUUCGAAAUCUCUUGAUGGCAGAGUCCCUAUCAAGGGCGAGGAAUCCGAGGAAACGACAGUUGUCGGCUUAUUGCUUACACAAGCAAGCAAACAAAAACCCUCUAUUGGCAAUAGGACCUGGUCUUUUAGAUGAUGAAGGAAACACCGUUCUUUACUCAAAAUAUGCAGGGAAUGACCUUAAAGGAACCACACUCGAAUCCGAUUUUUCCACUUGCUUUAGCUAUACCAUCAAUCUGAUCAGAUUUUAUUUUAAGUUUUCAUUCCCUACAAAAUCUGGAAAGGAUUUUUGUCAUAGAGUUCACUGUGAUUGGAUUAAAAGCAGCCUCUGAUCCAUCUAUUACAUUUUUUACAUGAUUGAUGGUUUACUACACUACAUAUAUGUUCCUUGCACUUGAUAAAGAUAUGAACGGAGCACUUAGCAAGCAAGAGCUUCGAGAAUAUGCAGAUGGGACACUCACAUAUAUUUUUAUCGAGAGGUUACGAGCAUGGGAGCAGGUGCAACACAAGAAGAUGGUGAAAUAAUUGCAAACUCAUUUGGAGCAGUUGGUAAAAUAUGGAAAGCUGAUAAAGUCAUUGGCUUGAAGCAUCUCCUUUCCAAUAUAGGCAUUUUACUUUUUUUUUUUUUUUUUUUUUUUUACAUUUUGAAAUGAAAGUAUAAUGGCAUUUGUACAUUGUUAUUAUGAGUAAAGAAACGGUAAGUAUGUUGUGAUUAUUGCAUGUAAAGAGAUGUAUGUACAUUGCUAAUACGACUGAAAAGUUUUAAAGUUGAUUUUAUUACGAAA